rnacentral:rRNA from 1 species
UCUGGUGACAAUGUCGGAGGGGGUACACCCGUUCCCAUCCCGAACACGGCAGUUAAGCCCUCCUGAGCCGACUGUAGCGUUUUGAAAGAU